UGUGACUUUGAGGCGGAGCUAAAGUUACCAGAGCCGCCAGGAGAGCAGAGUGUCUGCGGGCCAUUGACAUCACGCCUGCUGGGGAAGCCGGCCUCCUGGACAAGACCGCACAGCAAGCAAGAAGACCAGAAGAUGAAGACUAUAUUAUGCCCAGUUGCAGCACUCACAGCUUGUGUCAAAAACAAGACCAGCCUGGCAAUGCUGUUGGUAGGUGAUGCCAUUCAAACAAUGCCAGAAAGCAUUCUUGUUUCCUGCGACAGGGUAGAGUCCA